rnacentral:rRNA from 1 species
UACGAAGGGGGCUAGCGUUGUUCGGAUUUACUGGGCGUAAAGCGCACGUAGGCGGAUCUUUAAGUCAGAGGUGAAAUCCCAAGGCUCAACCUUGGAACUGCCUUUGAUACUGGAGAUCUUGAGUCCGGGAGAGGUGAGUGGAACUGCGAGUGUAGAGGUGAAAUUCGUAGAUAUUCGCAAGAACACCAGUGGCGAAAGGCGGCUCACUGGCCGGGGUACUGACGCUGAGGUGCGAAAGCGUGGGGAGCAAACAGG